CCGAAGAGUAAAAAAUUACUGUUAACCUUCGAUGUAAAAGUUUUCUGUAAUAGGUUAUUAUAGAAUGAUGGUCCAUUUCUAAGGGUUCCUGUGUGUUUUUUGAAAAUUAAAUGUUUAUUCUUACCACAAUCAGGGAAUAAACAUUAAUAAGAAGAAAGAAGCCGUUUGCUCUUGAAAAUAAAGAUAGAGAUUUAUGCAGUUUCAAGUUUCAGCUGUGGUAUGCCCCACUUACAGAGAGUGUUUAUGGAAUGUCAAGCAUUUGCCUGUGAUUAUCGAGCUCAUCCCAGACCUAAUGAAAAUUGCAGAAGAACGUUAAUUGCGGACGUCUGUCCCUCCUAUUAAGAAAUACUCUAGAUGAAUUUACCACAGCUGCAUGUUGUUUUCACACUAUUAGAAUCCACUAUGCAUAAUACAUUUUGUGGGUAAAAGUCUUUUCAGCAUUUAAUUUGUUUAUUAAAAAGUCCUUAUCUUUAGGUAUGAAAUUGAAAAUCUUCAAGUCUGUGGAAAUCCAAGGCCUUUUAGUAACAGUGCAUUUUGGUGUUUAGUCACAAAAAAAGAAGGUUUUAUUUUAUCAUUUUUUAAGUUAAGAAUUUGUUAGUAUUUGUUGAAAAAUAAUUGUACUUAACUUAGAAACUUGAGGAUAUUUAUCUUUACAGAUUCAUAGCAAUUACUUCAACAUUUUAAUCAUAGUAAAUCUGUUUUAUUUUCAGCAUAUUAGAUUACGAAGUGGAUCAUUUGUUUUUUAAAGAGUUAUGAUCAUCUAAUGCUAUUAAGUUAUUUUCUUAGGAACUUUAAAAACCUAAAACAUCAAGCCAUUUAUCAAUUUAGAGUCUGUACAUCUAAUUUUAAGUUAAAUUGUGCUUGAAAAACAGAUUCUCAUUAAUAGGUUUUCAAAAAUCUAAACUCCCAGACCCCUCAGGCAGGGGAAACAAAGCAAAAAUAAACUGUUGGGAUGACACCAAAAUAAAAAGCUUCUGCACAGAGAAGGAAACCAUCAACAAAACAGAAAGGCAGUCUAUACGUGGGAGAAGAUAUUUGCAAUGAUAUAUUUGAAAACAUACAGGUGGCCACAAUGGACACAUGAAAAGAUGCUCAACAUCACUAACCAUCAGGGAAAUGCAAAUCAAAACCAUGAUGAAAUAUUACUUUAUACUUGUCACAAUGGCUAGUAUCGAAAAGACAAAAAAUAACAAGUGUUGGCGAGUAUGUGGAGGUAAGGAAACUCUUGUGGGAAUGUGAUGGUGGGAAUGUGUAUUGGUGCAGCCACUAUGGAAAACUGAAAUUCUGUCUGUACUGAAACCCUAAUUCCCCUGUAAUCUUGCUUAAUCCUAGACUAGGCACGUAAGGGUCAGCCAUCUGACAGUUUACAUUUUUCUUUUUCCUUUUUUUUUUUUUUUGGUGGGAAUGUGUAUUGGUGCAGCCACUAUGGAAAACAGUAUGGACGUUCCCAAAAAAAUUAAAAGUAGAAAUACCAUAUGAUCCAAUAAUUCCACUACUGGGUAUUUACCCAAAGAAAAUGAAAGUACUAAUUCAGGAGUCUGCUUCUCUCUCUCUCUCCCCCCCCCACUCUAGGCCCUCUGCCCUUCCCCCACUCAUGUUUUCUCUCUCUCUCUCUCUCUCUCUCUAAGUAAAUAAAUAAAUAAAUCUUUAAAAAAAAUAAAAAGAAGUGAUACAAGUGUACAUUGAUAGAUGAACGAAUAAAGAAGAUGUGGCAUAUAUAUACAAUAGAAUAUUAUCAGCCAUAAAACAGAAUGAGUCCUUGCCAUUUGUGACAACAUUGGAUGACCCUAGAGGGUAUUAUGCUAAGUGAAAUAAGUCAGAGAAAGACAAAUACCAUAGAUUUCACUUAUAUGUGGAAUCUAAACAAACAACAACAACAACAAACAUACUCUUAAAUUCAAAGAACAAACUAAUGGUUGCCAGAGGGUUCGGGAGUAAGGGGAUGGGCAAAAUGGGUGAAGAGAAAUGGGAGAUACAGACUUCCAGUUAUGGGAUGAAUUAUGGGAUGAAUAAGUCAUGGGGACGAAAGGUACAGCAUGGGGAAUAUGUGAUAUUGUAAUAGUAUUGUAUGAUAACAGAUGGUAGCUGCACUUGUGAUGAGCAUAGCAUAAGGUAUAGACUUGUUAAAUCACUCUGUUGUACACCUAAAAUUAAUGUAACAUUGUGGGUCAACUCUACUUCAAUAAAAAAAAAAAAAAAGGAAAAAGAAAAAUGUAAACUGCCAGAUGGCUGACCCUUACGUGCCUAGUCUAGGAUUAAGCAAGAUUACGGGGGAAUUGGGGUUUCAGUACAGACAGAAUUUCAGUUUGCCAGAACACUGACAACGAUAUAUUGCCUGGUUGAACACGAUGGCUACUUCAGAGGCGCCAGUUUGGCUGAUUAGACAUGUCAAUAUUGGAAGCAUGAGAUUCAGGAACUAGAGCUUAGAAACCUUGAAUUGUAUAAUUAAAAGAUGGAGAUCAUCCAGAUCUGGGACAGAAAUGCACAAGAUGAUACUAGACCAUCUUGUCAUACCAGAUGGCAAGGAAGCUAUCGAAGAUGAUUAGAGUCCCGUCAAGGACUUAGGAGCCAACUUGAAGACACUCGCACUAGCCAAAGUUGGAACACAUUAACUGUCAGUAAGAAUAGUAACUGCAGUGGAUUGAAACACACCAAAUAAGUUUAAAUCCCAUGAGUUUACAAAGACCCGAAAAAGAAAAAAGAAAUCAAAAACCUAAUUGGUCUCCACUGAACUAUGCUCAUGAACCGUUAUUUCUGAAGCCAGCAAAUGAAGGGAAGGCAUUAAGCACUUAGCCUACCUUUUCUGUGUGAACUCUACUACUGGGCAACAAUAGAGCAUAAAAGGAGACAUUUCUCAUGAUAGGUAUUUCCCAGCUAAUAAAUGAAGAGUGAGAGACUAUCACCAUUUUCCAUCCCUGAUAAAUUAAUGAAUGGAUUUAACAUCAUAAAAAGAGAAUCUGAUAUUAUGUGCCUCCUGAGGGAAGAACAUGCCAUCUAUGACGGGGCCGGACCGGGGUGAGCAAGUCAAACCCUCACUUGGGGUCCAGAAUUUAAAAGGGCACUUUAAGUCUCAGGAAUUAUCUUCAGCAGCUGGUGCUACUAUAACAAAGUCCUAUAGACCGGGUGUCUUAUAAACAGCAGAAACUGAUUUCUCCUGGUUCUAGAGGCUGGAAGUCUAAGAUCAGGAUGCCAGCCUGGUUCAGUUCUGGUGAGGGCUUUCUUCUGGGUUGCAGACCACCAACUUUUUGUUUUAUCCUCACAUGGUGGAAGGAGAGGGUGAGAGAACUGUCUGGGGUCUCUUUUAUAAGGACACUGGUCCCAUUCGUGAGAGCUCCAUCCUCGUAACCGAAUUCCCUCACAAAGACCCCAUCUCCUAGUACCAUCACACUGGAGGUGAGGGUUUCAAUGUAUGAAUUUUUUAAACAUCGAGUCCACUGUAGAUAAAUAAGCAUUUAAUCAAGAUUAUUAUAGAAUAUUAUAACAAAUUAUAAUAAAAAUUAUUAUAAAUAAUUUAAUGCAAUAUUUUUUAAAUCAAAAUGACAAAUAAAUAGCAUCUGACAGUGCUGUGCUGAACGCUUUGAAGCCAGAAACAAAAGGGGAAAUGUAUGCCUCCAUAUCCAUGUUUUUAUGUAUUUUUCAAUGGGUAAUGAUUUUAAUGAAAAUAUUAUUGACAUAUUUACUCCCAUUAAAGUCAGGAAAAUAAAAUAAUAAAUUUUGUCUGGGUAUAAAGAAAAUAUCCAGAUUUAAAAUGUGAAUUUCAACAUCCCCGCUUUUCAGUUUGAUUUGUAAAAAUUAAUGUUUGGGAAAAAAUUAGCAAUUAAAAAAUCACAAAAGCAUGUAUACAUUUUUCCUUUUGCCUCAGGCUCCAAUGUGGCUCAGCAGGGCACUGACCUCUGAAGUCCUUUCACCUCUGUCCCCAAAGAUUGAAAUCAAAUUUAAACCUCUAGAUCUAAUUAUAAUUUCCAGAUAUCGGUGACAUGGGAAUACAUUACAUAAGCACCGCAAGGAUGCACUCAACUAAAUCUGGGCUGUGACAAACUCAAGGAUAAAAAUUCUUGUUUGCUACAUUUAACCGCAAGAAAGGAGACCUGGAAAGAAAUGAAGGGAAACCUCUAAAUCAAAGGAAAAUUAAGAGACAUUUUAGCCAGUCACAACAUGUGGGCCUUGUUUGGCUCAUCAUCCUAACAAACUAAAGACAAAACAAAAUUAUAUUGAGACCAGUUGGAAUUUGAAUAAUGACUGGAUAUUUGGUAAUACCAAGGAGUUGUUACGUUUUAGGUAUGAUAAACUG